rnacentral:lncRNA from 1 species
UGAUUAAAACACUAGAGCUUUCAAUUGCUUCUUGAUUGUUCUUAAACUUUAACAUGCAUAAGAAUCAUCUAAACAGAUUAAAAACUCCUCUGCUCCAGCCUGUGGAUGGAUUCACUGAGUUUGGUGGGGAGAUCUUAGAAUGUAAUUUAUUUUGUAAUUAAUAGACUUUUAGAGCACUUUUUGGUUUUUUUUAAACAAAUUUAUUAAAGUAUAAAUGACAUACAAUAAACCGCACAUAAAGUGUACAAUUUAAUAAGAUUUGACAUACAGAUACAUUCAAGUAACUACAGCACAGUUAAGAUAAUGAACACAUCCUCCACUCACUGAAAUUUCAUUGAUCCCUUUUGUAAUCCUUUCCUUUUGACUUUUUGGUUUUCAAAAGAAAAAAUGAGCAUACAGAGUUCCCAUGUACCCUCUCUCCAGUAACCCCUCCUCGAGUUUUCCCUGUUGUUAACAUCUGGUAUUAGUGUGGUACAUUUUUACAAUUGAGCCAAUGAUACAUUAUUUUUAACUAAAGUCCAUAGUUUAGAUAGAAGGCCUAAUCUUAGAGGAAGAGGUGGCCUUAGAGGAAGAGGAAAAAAAAAGAAAUCACUCAGAAGAAAGGCCAUGUGAGGACACAGCAGCCGUCUGCAAGCCAGGAAGAGAGCCCUCAGUGUAAAUAGAACUCUACUGACACCUUGACCUUGGACUUCCAGCCUGCAGAACUGUGGGAAGGUAAACUUCUGUUGUUUAAACCGCACAGCCUGUAGUAUUUUGUUGUGGUAGCCCGAGCGGACUAAUACAUACCCUAAGAUCAUACUUUGAGAUAUCACUACUCUACACUAGAGGCAAGAAAGUGUGGUCUGAAAUCCACCAAUAUCUACAUCACCUGUGAGUUUGUCAGGCAUUCAGAAUCUGGGGCCCUGCCUCAGACCUCCUUAAUCACUAUCAUCAUUUUAACAACAUCCUCAGGUGGUUCCAGGUAAGCACAUUAAAAUGUGAGAAGGCUGGGAGUGGUAGCUCAUGCCUGUAAUCCCAGCACUUUGGGAGGCUGAGGCAGGAGGGCUGAUUGAGCUCAGGAGUUUGAGACCGGUCUGGUCAACAUAGUAAACCCCAUCUCUACAAAUAAUUCAAAAAAAUUGGCCAGGCAUAGUGGCUCACACCUGUGGGUAGUGGCACCCAGCUACUCAAGAGGCUGAGAGAGGAGGAUCGCCUGAGCCCAGGAGGUCGAGGCUGCAGUGAGCUACGAUGGCACCACUGCCCUCCAGCCUGGGUAACAGAGUGAAAAACCCUGCCUUAAAAAAAAAAAAAAAGAAAAAAGAAAAAAAAAAUGAGAAGUCCUGCUCGACAGCACACUGGGCACAGCUUUGUGUUUGUUUACUUAUAUACCUUAGGCUCCCUUGGAGCCAUGCAGAGCUCACUGAGCAGAGGAAGAAGCUAGUGUUACAAUCAGCUCACUGCACUUUACCCUAAUGAGACAAUCCAGCUUCAUUUUUAUGUCAGCCCUACUCACAUGAAUAGAAUCACUUAUUAUCUCAUUAGGUUUCAAGCAGCAAAUAUCCCUAACCUUGAUCAUCGGACUACACUUGCAAAUUUAUUUCUGAUUCUUAAUCUCUUGUAUUAUAAUAAUCAGGUAAAAUAAUCUUCUUUGAGAUCCUAACAUUAAAGGAAAUAUUAAUAUGCCAUAAUGAAACAAAAAUGAGGUAAACAUUUUAGAGCUGCCAAGUUAAUUCCAACCUUCCUGUGGGAUUUUUAUAUUCAGUUCCUUAACUGAUCUUUACAACUCUGAAAAGUUGACAGCUCAAAUUUUAUAACCCCCGUUUUGCAGAAGAAGAAACUGAAGCCCAUGGAGAGUAAGAGACUUAUUUUCACAAGGCACGUGGGAUGCACCCAGGUCACAAACCUUCAUCGUCUGACAUCUUUCAGCACUUGCUUCUAUAAGGUUUGCCAAGUUUAUAAAAGCUGGAAUACUGCCAAAUGAAGUCCUGAAAAAUCUAAGGCAAGAUAGAUACAGAGAAGGGAAGAAUUUGUGAUCAUUUUUUCUAUCUACUCCAGGAACUAUUAAUAUCGCCGUGAGGCACAGAGAGGUUAAAGAACUUAAAGCUUAAGUUAAAGCUUAUUGAGCUACAAAGUGACAAAGCCAAGAUUCAAACAAGGCAGUCUUGCUUCAUCACCAAGAAGCUACCCACUAUACUAUAUUGCAAAUGCCACAAAGGGCUGAUUCCUGUGCUGUGGGAACACAUAAGAAAAGCCUUCAAUUCAAUCUUGGGUAUUAGGGAAGCUUUCAUAGAUGAACCUAAUGGCAAUUCCAAAUCCUAAUGGACAAGCAUGUAUCAACCACUUGAGAAGGAAGAAAGAAGAGGAACAUUGUCUUAAAACAGACCACAUAUGCAAAGUAACAGAGAUUGAGAAAGUUUAUGGUGCAGAGAGCUGCAAGUAGUUCCCUGGGCUGGAGAGCAAGUUCUGUGGCAGGAGAGGUGAGCAGUGGCCAGACUGUGGCAGUCUUAAAACCAAGCUUUGGACUUAAGUUUUAAUCAGAGACAUCAGCAGACCACUGAAAAAUUUCAGUCCAAGGAAUAAUAGCUUUAGAUUGUGGCUUUAGAUUCACCACUCUGGCAUUCAUGAAAAGAAUGGAAUCAGGCAACAUGGCAAACAGGUGGAGUAAUUUCCAAGGGUCAUCCAGUGACUAAACAAUAAAGUCUGAUGGCCUGAACUAAGGUAGAGGCAAUGGAGAUUUUUAAAAAGACACACUAGAAAGAUAAUUAGAAGGCAAGACUUGAUGACUGGUAAAUGUGAUGAAGGAGUCAGAAUGAUGAUGCCCGAGUUCUGGCUGAGAUGCUGCUUGGAUGAUGGUACCUUUCCUGAACCAUGGAGGUCACAAAGGCAUUUCAGAGAAGGAGAUGACAUCUUCUCAUUUGCAUAUGAAAAUGAAUUAUUCAGUUAUGAGAUGGGAAUUACCCUGGAGUUCCAGAGAGAGACUGGGUUGAAGAAAUAGAUCCGAAUGUCAUCAGUUGAUAUGGUUUGAAUUUGUGUCCUCACCCAAAUCUCAGGUAAAAUUGGAGGAGGGGCCCGGUGGGAGGUGAUUGGAUCAUGGGGCCAGAAUCCCCCUUGCUAUUCUCAUGAUAGUGAGUGAGUUCUCACAAGAUCUGAUGGUUUAAAAGUGUAUCGCACUUCCUGUUUCACUCUCUCUCUCUCCUGCCAGCAUGUGAAGAAGGCGCUUGUUUCCCCUUUACCUUUCCGCCACGAUUGUAAGUUUCCUAAGGCUUCCCAGCCAUGCUUCCUAUACAGCCUGUGGAAUUGUGAGUCAAUUAAACCUCUUUUCUUCAUAUAUUAGCCAAUCUCAGGUAGUCCUUUAUAGCAGUGUGAGAACAGACUAAUACACCAGUAUACAGAAAAAAGUGGCCAUGGAAAGUGUAUGUCCAUAAUACAUUGCAUUUAAUAGGCAUUUUUCUGUACCUUGAACAAUUUCAAAACACUUUACACUAUUUAACUAGUUUAAUUUUCACAACAAGUCUAUGAGGUAAUACUGUUAUUAUACUCAUUUUACAGAUGAGAAAAUUAAGGCACACAGUUAUUAAGGCAAACAGUGGUAGAGCCAGCAUUCAAACCUGGGUAAUCUGGCUGUAGACCUUAUGCUGCUAAUCAUGAAGUUAUACCGCUCCUCUGUACAGAAUGAGGAAGGAUUCUACUGCAGAAUACUGCACAAUACAAAUACUAACCUUGGCUUACCAUGGUGAACGAGGUACAAAAAUCCAGCCUUCAAAAAAUGUCAGUUGGUAAGAAAUGUAGGGCUGUAUCAUUGUGAGGUGGCUAGGAAAAAAUACACACUCAUUCAUUAUGCGCAAUCACAAAAAAACACAAAAUCGUGAAAAUUACAUUACAUUAACAGAUAACACACUAAACUGAAAAAGUCCCAAAUAACCCCAAGGCAGAGGGCAGAAUCCCUUUUUAAUUCCAUCCCACUAAACCUAUUGCUCCUCCAUAGAAAAUAGUUAUGUUAGUCUGUCCCACUGAAGAACUGGGACGGGGCACAGGAUUGGAGCCAAUUUUUAAAUGAAUUUUAUCAGAAUUCUGGCUAUCCCUGUGCCAUGAAAUCAAGCAAAAAGAAUUUUCCAAGGAGGCAGAGGCUUAGUUACAAGAGGUAACAAGAUGUCAAGGACACCAAAACCUGAAAUAACUUAUUGAUAGUAUUUAGAAAUAAGGAGAUCAGGCCGGGCACAGUGGCUCACGCCUGUAAUCCCAGCACUUUGGGAGGCCGAGGCGGUCGGAUCACGAGGUCAGGAGAUUGAGACCAUCCUGGCUAACACGGUGAAACCCCAUCUCUACUAAAAAUACAAAAAAUAAGCCAGGUGCAGUGGCGGGUGCCUGUAGUCCCAGCUACUCGGGAGGCUGAGGCA